CCUUGAUGCACACAUAAGUGUCUAGUAAGCAGAGGAGGCAAUGGGAAUUCAACCUUCGCGGUGCAGCUUUUCUCCUCCCGAUGGAGCAGUGAAAGACAAAGCUGAUAUCAUGGAAGCUAUGGAAAUAGUUCAAUGUGAAGUUCUUCUAGAGUAUCAUAAUUAUACCACCGGUUAUAUUAGUUAAGACAAUGGGGAAGCAUGAGAUUGAUACGUAGUGCGGUUGAGAAACUGAGAGCAUUCCUAUCCAUAGAAGAAUGGAGACUAGAGAAACAAAUCGCUUUGGGGAUAACUUUGUAAAUGUUCUCUGUAAAACCCUUCCUUUAUCAAUGAACUAGACAAUCAUUUUUUUCUUCUU
rnacentral:lncRNA from 1 species